rnacentral:rRNA from 1 species
AUUUUCCGGUUGAUCCUGCCGGAGGUUACUGCUAUCGAGGUUCGACUAAGCCAUGCGAGUCGAAUGUAUCAAUACAUGGCGAACUGCUCAGUAACACGUGGACAACCUGCCCUUAGGUUGGGUAUAAACCCGGGAAACUGGGUAUAAUACCCGAUAGGUCUCGAUUGCUGGAAUGCAUCGAGAUUUAAAGCUCCGGCGCCUAAGGAUGGGUCUGCGGCCUAUCAGGUAGUAGUGGGUGUAGCGUACCUACUAGCCUACGACGGGUACGGGUUGUGAGAGCGAGAGCCCGGAGAUGGAUUCUGAGACACGAAUCCAGGCCCUACGGGGUGCAGCAGACGCGAAAACUUUACAAUGCUGGCAACAGCGAUAAGGGAACCUCGAGUGCCAGGUUACAAAUCUGGCUGUCGAGAUGCCUAAAAAGCAUUUCAUAGCAAGGGCCGGGCAAGACCGGUGCCAGCCGCCGCGGUAACACCGGCGGCUCGAGUGGUAACCGUUAUUAUUGGGUCUAAAGGGUCUGUAGCCGGCCGAAAAAAGUAUCUUGAGAAAUCUGGCAGCUUAACUGUCAGGCUUUCAGGAGAUACUGUCUGGCUCGAGGCCGGGAGAGGUGAGAGGUACUUCAGGGGUAGGGGUGAAAUCUUGUAAUCCUUGAAGGACCACCAGUGGCGAAAGGCGUCUCACCAGAACGGACCUGACGGCAAGGGACGAAAGCUAGGGGCACGAACCGGAUUAGAUACCCGGGUAGUCCUAGCCGUAAACGAUACUCUCUAGAAAGUCGGCCACGGUGCGACCGUUGUCGGUGCCGUAGGGAAGCCGUGAAGCGAGCCACCUGGGAAGUACGCCUUCAAAACUGAAACUUAAAGGAAUUGGCGGGGGAGCACCACACCUUGUUCAAUCUUGCGGUUUAAUUGGAUUCAACGCCGGAA